GCAGUGAGGAAUCUUCCACAAUGGGCGAAAGCCUGAUGGAGCAACGCCGCGUGCAGGAUGAAGGCCUUCGGGUUGUAAACUGCUUUUAUAAGUGAAGAAUAUGACGGUAACUUAUGAAUAAGCACCGGCUAACUACGUGCCAGCAGCCGCGGUCAUACGUAGGGUGCAAGCAUUAUCCGGAGUGACUGGGCGUAAAGAGUUGCGUAGGCGGUUAGUAAAGCGAAUAGUGAAAUCUGGUGGCUCAACCAUACAGACUAUUAUUCGAACUCACUAACUCGAGAAUGGUAGAGGUAACUGGAAUUUCUAGUGUAGGAGUGAAAUCCGUAGAUAUUAGAAGGAACACCAAUGGCGUAGGCAGGUUACUGGACCAUUUCUGACGCUAAGGCACGAAAGCGUGGGGAGCGAACCGGAUUAGA
rnacentral:rRNA from 1 species